rnacentral:rRNA from 1 species
CCCUUAGAUGUUCUGGGCCGCACGCGCGCUACACUGAAGGCAUCAGCGUGUCCUUCCCUCCCCGAGAGGGGCGGGUAACCCGCUGAACCGCUUUCGUGGUAGGGAUCGGGGCUUGCAAUUAUUCCCCGUGAACCAGGAAUUCCCAGUAAGCGCGAGUCAUAAGCUCGCGUUGAUUACGUCCCUGCCCUUUGUACACACCGCCCGUCGCUACUACCGAUUGAAUGGUUUAGUGAGAUCUUCGGAUUGGCGCCACUGCGGCUCAGCAAUGGGCUCGGUGGAUGCCGAAAAGUUGAUCAAACUUGAUCAUUUAGAGGAAGUAAAAGUCGUAACA